CCGCCGUGAGAGAGAGAGAGAGAAGUUCUAGUUUCAAGUCAGUUCGGGUCUAAGCCCAUGAAGACCGGCAGAGGCUGGCUGCCACAGCGCAGAACGGUAGAAGCGGGUAUGUACUGAUGGGUGGAAGUCAGUGGGGUGAACAGAUAGGGCGGAUGGCGAGCCAGAAGUGAGCGAGAGGAAGAGAAGGUCAAGAAAUGGAAUAGAACAGGGACAAGUGAGUGUGGUUCAAAGCGAGGAGGUUAGACAGAUGGAGGGGCAUGUGUUGAGUCAGGAGAAACUGGAACGAAGCCGAAAGGUUGCGGGAUGAGCGAGAAAUGGACGUUCUUGGACUUGAUCUGGAAGAGCGGCGGCGACGAGUUCCGGCGGAGCCGGGGCGGGUCGAGACGUUGUCGUGGGGUCCGUAGGCGUGCUGCCGGGACUGUGUGCGAGUUGGAGGCGGAUUGGCGGGAGAUUGGGGGAGAAAGAGUCAAUGGAGGGGGGGGGGGGGGAGGGGUGGAAAGGGCGGCGCUGGCGCGUCGUAGUGCGUUCCGGCGCGUCUCCUCCCCCUCCUUACGCCUCAUCCUUCUUCUGCACCUCUUGUGGUUGCGACAGUUGCGGGAAUCGGCCUGUGGAGUCGAGGAAGUCGAGGAGAGGGUCGCGGUAGGACGGGUUGCCGAGGAGAGCGCCGGCAGUGGGGAGUUUGCGUAAUCGGAGGUGCUUGACGAGCGUGUUGCGAGCAUUGUCGUAGAGCGGGCAGGUGAGCAAGAGAUGUUCCCGAUCUUCCUCCUCGCCGCAUCCGCAGAGAGGGUCGCGUGCCGGGUCGAACUUGGCGCGGUAGGCGUUGAGAGAGGACGCGCCGGUGCGGAGGCGGCAGAGUAGGGUUGCUUGUCGCCUGCUGAGCCCGUCGUAGUACCUGAACGAGCGCGAGGCGAGCGGUGACGCGGCGAAGAGCUGGCGGCCGACGGUGGAGCGGCGCCAUUCCUCAUCCCACCGCGUGCGCGUCGCCUGCUUGUGUGCAGCCCAUAGCGCCGAGAUGCUAGCCGGUAGCUGAGCGUUGGACCAAGAGCCUGGCGAGCCGUCGUCGCUGAGUUGUGUGACGCGGGCCGACUUGGCGAGAUGGCGGGUCGCCCGGCCUCCUCGCCCUCCCUC
rnacentral:misc_RNA from 1 species